CAGCAGCAGCCGCGGUAAUACAGAGGGUGCGAGCGUUAAUCGGAUUUACUGGGCGUAAAGCGUGCGUAGGCGGCUUUUUAAGUCGGAUGUGAAAUCCCUGAGCUUAACUUAGGAAUUGCAUUCGAUACUGGGAAGCUAGAGUAUGGGAGAGGAUGGUAGAAUUCCAGGUGUAGCGGUGAAAUGCGUAGAGAUCUGGAGGAAUACCGAUGGCGAAGGCAGCCAUCUGGCCUAAUACUGACGCUGAGGUACGAAAGCAUGGGGAGCAAACAGGAUUAGAUACCCCCGUAGUCCCUGUCUCUUAUAA
rnacentral:rRNA from 1 species